rnacentral:tRNA from 1 species
UCGUCGGUGGCGUGGCUGACUUUGUCACCGUUCUCGGCGGUGACUUCGCGGUUCAGGCCGCGGUUGACCAG